GAGAGAGAGAAAUGUAAGUCGCUUUGGAUAAAAGCGUCUGCUAAAUGACUAAAU
rfam:Danio rerio chromosome 5, GRCz11 reference primary assembly.